rnacentral:misc_RNA from 1 species
AUCAUCAAGAAAUUGCAUAUGCAAGUUCAUCAGAUAAACAACUGGGUUGAAGAAGUUUAUGCUUUACCGAUAGUACUGUUCUUUGUGUUACCUUGUUGUAUGUGCAAUUUUAGGCCAUAAGAAAGUUACACUGAUAACAGCUUAACACUUAAGAAUUAAAAUAUGACACUUCAGCAGGCCUACUCAUGCAUGGUGAUAUACUGAUUAUAGCUUACAAGAGUCAAGAGUAUGAUAAACUGAUUACAGCUUACAAGA